UACGGGGGGGGGCAAGCGUUGUUCGGAAUUACUGGGCGUAAAGGGCUCGUAGGCGGCCAACUAAGUCAGACGUGAAAUCCCUCGGCUUAACCGGGGAACUGCGUCUGAUACUGGAUGGCUUGAGUUUGGGAGAGGGAUGCGGAAUUCCAGGUGUAGCGGUGAAAUGCGCAGAUAUCAGGAGGAACACCAGUGGCGAAGGCGCCGCUCUGGGCCGUAACUGACGCUGAGGAGCGAAAGCGUGGGGAGCGAACAGG
rnacentral:rRNA from 1 species